rnacentral:rRNA from 1 species
CAGCAGUUAAGAAUAUUUCGCAAUGGACGAAAGUCUGACGGAGCGACGCCGCGUGGAUGAAGAAGGCCGUGAGGUUGUAAAAUCCUUUUGUCGAGGAAGAAUAAGUAUGGUAGGGAAUGCCUGUAUAAUGACAUUAGUCGAUGAAUAAGCCCCGGCUAACUACGUG